GGAGCAUUAAUUUAAUGGUAAAAUCCUUGUCUUACAAGCAAGUGUUAGCGGUUCAAUUCCGUUAUGCUCCA
rnacentral:tRNA from 1 species